rnacentral:rRNA from 1 species
AUUGAACGCUGGCGGCGGGCCUAACACAUGCAAGUCGAACGCGAAAACCCCUUCGGGGGCAAGUAGAGUGGCGAACGGGUGAGUAACGCGUAGGAAUCUACCCAGGAGUGGGGGACAACCCGGAGAAAUCCGGGCUAAUACCGCAUAUGCCCUACGGGGUAAAGUGGGGGACCUUUAGGGGCCUCACGCUUUUGGAUGAGCCUGCGUCGGAUUAGCUUGUUGGUAAGGUAACGGCUUACCAAGGCGACGAUCCGUAGCUGGUCUGAGAGGAUGACCAGCCACACUGGGACUGAGACACGGCCCAGACUCCUACGGGAGGCAGCAGUGGGGAAUAUUGGACAAUGGGGGCAACCCUGAUCCAGCCAUGCCGCGUGUGUGAAGAAGGCCUUCGGGUUGUAAAGCACUUUCAGUAGGGAAGAAAAGCCUAAGGUUAAUACCCUUGGGUCUUGACGGUACCUACAGAAGAAGCACCGGCUAAUUCCGUG